UGCAAAGCCUGACCUAAUUGACACUCAGUUUAAUAUACCUGAUGGGAAGCAGUCAUGAGAUCCACUGCUGCGUCAGUUUUCAAUCCUUGGAACGAAUACAGGGAUGUGAAAUACGAGGCAGGUCGUAAUUGAUUUGCCUUUUCUGAAAUGCUGGGAUGUUACUGCGAGAAAAUAAACACCAGAGUUCUCAUGUGAAGAAAAAAAAAGAGGCAGACACUGGACUGGCUGAGCCAAGCUGACAAACUUCAUUACCAAUAGCUGAAAAAAAUCGAACUAAAGACGCACAGGAAGUGAGUAUGGCACCAUCUGCAUCGGUUCUCUUGUCCAAGUGGAAGCUACCCUCUGCCUAAGAAUUAUGUGGAUACAACUGAGGAGAAUGUUACCUGUGAAAGGAGUUGUUUGGGCAACCUCUUCAUGACGUAUUCAUACA
rnacentral:lncRNA from 1 species